UCCGUAGGGUGCGAGCGUUGUCCGGAAUUACUGGGCGUAAAGAGCUCGUAGGUGGUUUGUCGCGUUGUUCGUGAAAACUCACAGCUUAACUGUGGGCGUGCGGGCGAUACGGGCAGACUGGAGUACUGUAGGGGAGACUGGAAUUCCUGGUGUAGCGGUGGAAUGCGCAGAUAUCAGGAGGAACACCGGUGGCGAAGGCGGGUCUCUGGGCAGUAACUGACGCUGAGGAGCGAAAGCGUGGGGAGCGAACAGG
rnacentral:rRNA from 1 species